rnacentral:rRNA from 1 species
UGAAGGUUGAGUAACAUCAACUGGAGGACCGAACCGACUAAUGUUGAAAAAUUAGCGGAUGACUUGUGGCUAGGGGUGAAAGGCCAAUCAAACCUGGAGAUAGCUGGUUCUCCCCGAAAGCUAUUUAGGUAGCGCCUCGGACGAAUACUACUGGGGGUAGAGCACUGUUAAGGCUAGGGGGUCAUCCCGACUUACCAACCCUUUGCAAACUCCGAAUACCAGUAAGUACUAUCCGGGAGACACACGGCGGGUGCUAACGUCCGUCGUGGAGAGGGAAACAACCCAGACCGCCAGCUAAGGUCCCAAAUUACUACUAAGUGGGAAACGAUGUGGGAAGGCUCAGACAGCCAGGAUGUUGGCUUAGAAGCAGCCAUCAUUUAAAGAAAGCGUAAUAGCUCACUGGUCGAGUCGGCCUGCGCGGAAGAUGUAACGGGGCUAAGUAGUAAACCGAAGCUGCGGCAAUGUGCUUUUGCACAUUGGGUAGGGGAGCGUUCUGUAAGCGGUUGAAGGUGUGUGGUAACGCAUGCUGGACGUAUCAGAAGUGCGAAUGCUGACAUGAGUAACGAUAAAGGGGGUGAAAAACCUCCUCGCCGGAAGACCAAGGUUCCUGUCCAACGUUAAUCGGGGCAGGGUAAGUCGACCCCUAAGGCGAGCCGAAAGGCGUAGUCGAUGGGAAACGGGUUAAUAUUCCCGUACUUCUUACAAUUGCGAUGGGGGGACGGAGAAGGCUAGGUGGGCCUGGCGACGGUUGUCCAGGUUCAAGUGCGUAGGCUUAAGAGUUAGGUAAAUCCGGCUCUUUUUAAGGCUGAGACACGACGUCGAGCACCUACGGGUGUGAAGUCAUUGAUGCCAUGCUUCCAGGAAAAGCCUCUAAGCUUCAGAUUGUAAGGAAUCGUACCCCAAACCGACACAGGUGGUCGGGUAGAGAAUACCAAGGCGCUUGAGAGAACUCGGGUGAAGGAACUAGGCAAAAUGGUACCGUAACUUCGGGAGAAGGUACGCUCUCGACGGUGAAGUCCCUCGCGGAUGGAGCUAUUGAGAGUCGCAGAUACCAGGUGGCUGCAACUGUUUAUUAAAAACACAGCACUGUGCAAAAUCGUAAGAUGACGUAUACGGUGUGACGCCUGCCCGGUGCCGGAAGGUUAAUUGAUGGGGUUAGACUUCGGUCGAAGCUCUUGAUCGAAGCCCCGGUAAACGGCGGCCGUAACUAUAACGGUCCUAAGGUAGCGAAAUUCCUUGUCGGGUAAGUUCCGACCUGCACGAAUGGCGUAAUGAUGGCCACGCUGUCUCCACCCGAGACUCAGUGAAAUUGAAAUCGCUGUGAAGAUGCAGUGUACCCGCGGCUAGACGGAAAGACCCCGUGAACCUUUACUACAGCUUGGCACUGAACAUUGACCCUACAUGUGUAGGAUAGGUGGGAGGCUUUGAAGCACGUACGCCAGUAUGUGUGGAGCCGUCCUUGAAAUACCACCCUUGUAGUGUUGAUGUUCUAACGUUGACCCCUUAUCGGGGUUGCGGACAGUGCCUGGUGGGUAGUUUGACUGGGGCGGUCUCCUCCCAAAGAGUAACGGAGGAGCACGAAGGUGGGCUAAUCACGGUUGGACAUCGUGAGGUUAGUGCAAUGGCAUAAGCCCGCUUGACUGCGAGAAUGACAAUUCGAGCAGGUGCGAAAGCAGGUCAUAGUGAUCCGGUGGUUCUGAAUGGAAGGGCCAUCGCUCAACGGAUAAAAGGUACUCCGGGGAUAACAGGCUGAUACCGCCCAAGAGUUCAUAUCGACGGCGGUGUUUGGCACCUCGAUGUCGGCUCAUCACAUCCUGGGGCUGAAGUCGGUCCCAAGGGUAUGGCUGUUCGCCAUUUAAAGUGGUACGCGAGCUGGGUUUAGAACGUCGUGAGACAGUUCGGUCCCUAUCUGCCGUGGGCGUUGGAAGAUUGAAGGGGGCUGCUCCUAGUACGAGAGGACCGGAGUGGACGAACCUCUGGUGUUCGGGUUGUGUCGCCAGACGCAUUGCCCGGUAGCUAAGUUCGGAAUCGAUAACCGCUGAAAGCAUCUAAGCGGGAAGCGAGCCCUGAGAUGAGUCUUCCCUGAUACUUUAAGUAUCCUAAAGGGUUGUCGGAGACUACGACGUUGAUAGGUCAGGUGUGUAAGUGCUGUGAGGCAUUGAGCUAACUGAUACUAAUUGCCCGUGAGGCUUAACCA